CUCAACUUUGACAGUCAACUUCUGGUGCUGCAUCGUAAACAAAGAAUGGAAUUAUAUUUACACGAAGUGUCUUUCAUUGCGGAAGAAUCUGAUUGUAUCCAAGCGGUGGAGCAGUGAAUAAGUGUUUCCAUAAUCAUGUUUUUACCGAUUACAACUUUGGUUGGAGGUCACGGACUACAGACGGACGAGCACUUAGCAGGUUCCACUACGUUCUACAAGGAAAACAGAACUCUACAAAGGGCAUGUUUAUAUCUGGACGAAUCAUUCUCGCCACGCAACUACCCACUUGUAACGAAUCCAUCUAAAGUUCUUCCGGAAUUGCAUUGACGGUGGAUUCCAAAUUAUUUAGUAUGAAGCUGGCAAUGAUUAGGUGACGAAAUUUUCAUCCACCGAUAGCAA